AGGACGAACGCUGGCGGCGUGCUUAACACAUGCAAGUCGAACGGAAAGGCCCGCUUGCGGGUACUCGAGUGGCGAACGGGUGAGUAACACGUGGGCAACCUGCCCUCAGCUUCGGGAUAACACUUGGAAACAGGUGCUAAUACCGGAUAAUAACUUGUCAUCGCAUGGUGGUGGGUUCAAAGUUUUUCGGCUGAGGAUGGGCCCGCGGCCUAUCAGCUUGUUGGUGGGGUAAUGGCCUACCAAGGCGACGACGGGUAGCCGGCCUGAGAGGGCGACCGGGCCACACUGGGACUGAGACACGGCCCAGACUCCUACGGGAGGCAGCAGUGGGGAAUUUUCCGCAAUGGGCGAAAGCCUGACGGAGCAAGACCGCGUGGGGGAAGAAGGCUCUUGGGUUGUAAACCCUUUCUCUGGGAAGAACGCAAUGACGGUACCAGAGGAAUCAGCAGUCGGCUAACUCCGUGCCAGCAGCCGC
rnacentral:rRNA from 1 species